UACGGAGGUGGCAAGCGUUACUCGGAAUCAUUGGGUGUAAAGGGCAAGUAGGCGGUCCAAUAAGUGAGGGUGAAAUACCCGCGACUCAAUCGCGGAACUGCCUUUCAAACUGUCGGACUUGAGGUAAGAAGAGGAAAAUGGAAUUCUCGGUGUAAGGGUGAAAUCUGUAGAUAUCGAGAAGAACACCAACGGCGAAGGCAAUUUUCUACUCUUAUCCUGACGCUAAAUUGCGAAAGCUAGGGGANCGAAC
rnacentral:rRNA from 1 species